AGAAUCAACGCUGGCGGCGUGCCUAACACAUGCAAGUCGAACGCGAAAGGGGAGCAAUCCCUGAGUAGAGUGGCAAACGGGUGAGUAACACGUGGGUGACCUGCCUUCGAGUGGGGGGAUAACGUCCCGAAAGGGACGCUAAUACCGCAUGACAUCCUGUCCUUGGAAGGACGGAGAUCAAAGCUGGGGAUCGUAAGACCUGGCGCUUGAAGAGGGGCCCGCGCCUGAUUAGCUAGUUGGCGGGGUAACGCUCACCAAGGCUACGAUCAGUA
rnacentral:rRNA from 1 species